CGCCGCUGGGACGGCACGCAGGCGAGGCACCGCCAUGGGGAGCCCCGGCCCGAGGUCGCGGCGCGGUCCGGCGGGGUCCACCUCCAGGCGCGUGCGGGGCCCAGGAUCUCCGGACCCGCCGCGAGGCUACAAGACGCGCCCCCGAAGGCUCCCAACCUCCAGAGAUCCGGGUUCCCGCACCACCCACUCUGCCAAGCCCUGGGAGGCUGAAAGCUUGAUGGGACACAGUGGGUUCACCGCUCAGGAAGGCGGCGCAGAGAACACCAGCAUGGAACCGGCCCGCCCACCUGGCCUUGCUUUCUGCCACAGAUGGUGGAACCCGCCUGCUCUCCAGCCAUGACGAGGCCCGAGGCCAGGACCUGGCACUGCCUGGCAAUGAAUGCCUGAGGUAUUUGGGCCUCCGUGCUACAUUCCGAAUGACAUGUCCACAUUUGCCACGGACAAGAAUGACAGAUGGAGAAAAAUCAUCUCUGACCCUUGAAAGCCGGUCAUGUUCUAUGAGUAGGCAUGAAAGCAUCCUUCAGAAGUAUACUUCGCCAACCUAUUUUGUGGGGUAAACCUGCUAAUCCAUGCAAGCUGGAGGACCCGCGGAAGAUAAAUAAAUUUCAUGACAUGAGCUGGUUGAGGAAGCCACAAUGAAAAUCCACUAUAUCACAACAUAUACUUGGU